GCAUUAUCCUGCUCCUCCAAAAGGAUGCCCAUGGCCAAGGCCCCCCAAGCGGCUGGCGGGCAGGGUGAUGGAGGUGAUGGCGAAGAGGCAGAGCCGGAAGGGAUGUUCACGGCCCCCAAGGACACGAAGAGAAAAGUCCGAGACUGCCUCCGCCUGGCUCCUCUGUGGCUGGCUCUGGUCAUGUUGGCUUCAGUGGGGCUCCUGCUCUGGUAUUUCCUAGGGUACAAGGCAGAGGUGACAGUCAGCCAGGUGUACUCAGGCAGCCUCCGCGUGCUCAAUCGCCACUUCUCCCAGGACCUUGCCCGCCGGGAGUCCAGUGCCUUCCGCAGUGAAACUGCCAAAGCUCAGAAGAUGCUCAAGGAGCUCAUUGCCAGCACCCCCCUAGGUACUUACUACAACUCCAGUGCCGUCUACUCCUUUGGGGAAGGACCAUUCACCUGCUUCUUCUGGUUCAUCCUCCAAAUCCCGGAGCACCGCCGGCCAAUGCUGAGCCCCGACGUGGUGCGGGCCCUGCUGGCGGAGGAGCUGCUGUCUGCUGCCAACAGCUCGGUCCCCGCUCCCUAUCGGACCGAGUACGAGGUGGACCCCGAGGGCCUGGUGAUCCUGGAAGCCAGCGUGAAAGACAUAGUUGCACUGAAUUCCACGCUGGGCUGCUACCGCUACAGCUACGUGGGCCAGGGCCAGGUCCUCCGGCUGAAGGGGCCCGACACCCUGGCCUCCAGCUGCCUGUGGCACCUUCAGGGCCCCCAGGAUCUCAUGCUCAAACUCCGGCUCGAGUGGAAGCUGGCUGACUGCCGGGACCGGCUGGCCAUGUAUGACGCGGCGGGGCCUCUCGAGAGGAGGCUCAUCACCUCGGUCUACGGCUGCAGUCGCCAGGAGCCUGUGGUGGAGGUCCUGGCCUCAGGCGCCAUCAUGGCGGUGGUCUGGAAGAAGGGCCUUCACAGCUACUACGACCCCUUCGUGCUCUCCGUGCAGCCUGUGACCUUCCAGGCCUGCGAGGUGAACCUGACCCUGGAGGGCCGGCUGGAGCCGCAGGGUGUCCUCAGCACACCGUACUUCCCCAGCUACUACUCACCCAGCACCCACUGCUCCUGGCACCUGACGGUGCCCUCUCUGGACUACGGCUUGGCUCUCUGGUUUGACGCCUAUGCACUGCGGAGGCAGAAAUACGACAUGCCAUGCACCCAAGGCCAGUGGACCAUCCAAAACAGAAGGCUGUGUGGCCUGCGCACCCUGCAGCCCUACGCUGAGAGGAUCCCUGUGGUGGCCAGCGCCGGCAUUACCAUCAACUUCACGUCCCAGAUCUCCCUCACCGGGCCCGGCGUGCAGGUGCACUAUAGCCUGUACAACCAGUCAGAUCCCUGCCCUGGAGAGUUCCUCUGCUCCGUGAACGGACUCUGUGUGCCCACCUGUGAUGGGGUCAAGGAUUGCCCCAACGGCCUGGAUGAGAGAAACUGCGUCUGCAGAGCCACAUUCCAGUGCCAGGAGGACAGCACGUGCAUCCCCCUGUCCAGGGUCUGUGACCGGCAGCCCGACUGUCUCAACGGGAGUGAUGAAGAGCAGUGCCAGGAAGGGGUGCCUUGUGGGACCUUCACCUUUCAGUGUGAGGACCGCAGCUGUGUGAAGAAGCCCAACCCGCAGUGUGACGGGCACCCCGACUGCACGGACGGCUCGGACGAGCAGCGCUGCGACUGUGGCCUUCAGGGCCCCUCGGGCCGCAUCGUGGGCGGGGCCGUGUCCUCGGAGGGUGAGUGGCCGUGGCAGGCCAGCCUCCAGGUUCGUGGCCGACACAUCUGUGGGGGGGCCCUCAUCGCUGACCGCUGGGUGAUCACUGCUGCCCACUGCUUCCAGGAGGAAAGCAUGGCAUCCCCGGCGCUGUGGACCGUGUUCCUGGGCAAAGUGUGGCAGAGCUCACGCUGGCCGGGCGAGGUGUCCUUCAAGGUGAGCCGCCUGCUCCUGCACCCGUACCACGAGGAGGACAGCCACGACUACGACGUGGCCCUGCUGCAGCUCGACCACCCCGUGGUGCGCUCGGCCGCCGUGCAGCCCAUCUGCCUGCCUGCCCGCUCCCACUUCUUCGAGCCGGGCCUGCACUGCUGGAUCACAGGCUGGGGUGCCCUGCGAGAAGGCGGCCCCACCAGCAACGGCCUGCAGAAGGUGGACGUGCAGCUGAUCCCGCAGGACCUGUGCAGCGAGGCCUACCGCUACCAGGUGACACCCCGCAUGCUGUGUGCCGGCUACCGCAACGGCAAGAAGGAUGCCUGCCAGGGUGACUCAGGUGGCCCGCUGGUGUGCAAGGAGCCCAGUGGCCGUUGGUUCCUGGCAGGGCUUGUCAGCUGGGGUCUGGGCUGCGGCCGGCCCAACUAUUUUGGCGUCUACACCCGCAUCACUGGUGUGAUAAGCUGGAUCCAGCAGGUGCUGACUUGA
rnacentral:lncRNA from 1 species